rnacentral:lncRNA from 1 species
CUUCAAAGACAAAGGCAGAGCAGCUGCAAAGGUGGCACAAGUGGGUGUCACCAUCUCCUCACAAAGCAAGGAGCCUCAUCCUCCCCACCCACCAGAAACCAGGAGUCCACCUCUGGGCUGAGGCUGCCGUCUGGAGAUGUGUGCUGCCAAUGGACAUCUUAUAGCCCCUAAGUCGGCAGGAGGCCGGCCUGCUGUGCCGCACAGCAAGAGACCCGGACCGGACUCAGGCCACAGGUGGACAGCACGCCAGAGCUCAGAGCCCAACGAAGAGCAAGGUGGCAGUGGCACUCAGCUGGCAGCCCCAGCGAGGGCCAGGUUCCCUGUGCAGGACUCCUGAGGAGUGUGGUGGGAAGUUCAGUCAGGAUGUGUGCAGGUACCUACCCCAGCACCCACGUCCUGAUCCACUGUGGCCUGGCAGGUCUCGGAUCCUCGGACAGCCCUCCCGUGUCCCUGGGCAGGUGAGCUCUGCCUUCGCCCGAGAAGCACCCAGGCUGGGGCUGGCUUCCCCCCAGGGAGGCUUGGCUGCUGUGGGGCUCGUGGGAGCGCUCAGCGAC